UUUUUGCCUAUAUUCUUUUUAGCUUUCACGCUCUCCCGUCUCCUGGCCGACUCUUCCAAAACCAAAACCCCUCUCUUUGAUGGCCAUAUAUCGGCCAAGAUUCUUUCAUUCCAGCCACCAACAGCGGUGGUCGAACUAGCCUAGACCCUCCAAAAAAGAAAUAAAACUUAACUUUUCCUACUCUUCCUCCUAAGAUCGAGACCCCAACUCACUCAAAAAAACCCUUUUUCUUUUAAAAUUUCAAACAAUAACCUUAAAAGGCUAAGUUUUUUUCCCCUUCAACCGGAACCUAUUUCGCACGGCCACAAAAGUAAAUCGGAGGGAUCUUAAGCUAUACUCGGAGAUAACGAGCGAACAGAGAGGGGCUGAUUGGUCGCGCAUGGGUCGUAUUAAAUGACCCUAGAUUUCUUGCGAUCUGUCUCGGCUCAUUUGAUAUCGGCUCGACGAUCGGCGCGGCUGGAGGAAGGAGUGGCUUUAGGAUGAAACCCUAAUUUUCUUUGAUCUGUACCGUUGAAUGGGUCCAGAUCUGAUGGCUAAUAGCACAUGACGGCUGGGGAAAAGUAGAAAACACUAUGGGUUCCAUCAUCUGGGCCAUACAUGGACUGCUCCAAAAAA